ensembl:lncRNA
GUCAUGGAAACGACAAGCCAGAGGCAGCGUUGGCUGGUCCUGCAGGCGGAGAAGGCUGCAAGCCCGCGGAGACAGGAGCGAGGCGGAGUGCCCUGGACGGCUGGAACGUGGAGAAACCAUGGCGGCCGCUCCAGCUCACCCUCCUGGGCUCGUUGCUGGCCCAGGUCGUGGUGGGGAGCGCCCCGGAGCGUCCCCGCCCUGCUCCCUUGGCUCCCGCCUCCUGCGGCCGUGCAGCGCCUCCUCGCCCGCCCCCGGCUCCGCCCGCCGUCGCUACAGCUCCUCGCGCUAACGGUCGGUGGCAGCCCGCGUGCGCCGCCCUCCGGGGGCUCGCGCCUGCCACGAGGGAGCGUCCGCGGCCCGUGCGCCCAGCCGCAGAGGAGAGGUGAGCCCCGGCCGGGCCGCGUCCCCUGCCUGCCGCGCAGCCGGCCUCCGCGCGGGGACCGUCUCUGUGUCCCCUCGUGGGCCAGGAGGACGUGGCGCGGCCCGGUUUGUGGACUGCGGGAGUAUCCGACCCGCCUCUGUGGGUGUCACCGGGUGUCGGCCGGCGCGCGUGGGCGUGUCCUCCCGGUCCACGCGUGUUCUCUCCAUCACUGUCGCCUUUCGUUCGGGACGACGGUUUCAGAAAUGGAGCCAUGGAGGAUCCUGUUGUGCAGCCCGGGCUGGCCUGGAACUUCACAGUCCUCCUGCCUCCAGCAUCCUGAGUGUUUGCAUUGCAGGGAACAAUGUUUGUGAUGCUGCUACAGUAGACCUUUGAUGAUGUCAAUAAGGAGACAUCCCCACUUUCUUUGGUUAAAAGUCUCAGAGACUUUAAGGAUCGCUGCCUGCCAAGAAGAAAGCAUGGUGAACCACAAGCUGUUGCUAUUUCACUGAACCACUCCACAGAUGGUCCAUGGCUGCUGAGCAGAGUGAACCUCAGGAUAGACUGCACUGGUCCCCGACAAGGCCACCCUCACCAGCAGAUGAGGUGUUAAUGGAUUAUUCCUGGUAAUGGGUUUCCCUUCGUCUCUUUAUUAAAUUCCAAGCUGUUACCUAGACUACAUCCCACUAUAUCUAAUUAAUGUACUAAUCAACUUUGUUUUGAAUGGAAAUGAAGAAAAUCUGUUGAUACUCCUGCUGGCAGAAUAAGAAAUAUGCCUACUGUGGAGUAUCUUUUUCCAUUAUGAAGAAAAUUUAAUCUCUGUCAUCCUCAAAAGUGAAAAAUUAUUUUGUAGUUGGAUUCCUGCUUGUAUGGCUUGGGGUUAUCCUAGUUUCCAAGUGACUAUUUGUUUCAGAAAGAUUCUCUCCAGAAGCCAUUCAUAAGGCUGUUAAAUUCUUUAAUAAAGAAUUGGAAGCCAAAUUAACUAGGCUAGAAACACGGAUAAUCAGUUGGCAGUAGACUGAUGUCCAGCCCCCUGAAUUUUUAACUGCUGCAGAACUGAGUGACCCAGCUGUGGGUCCCACUCCAAGUCUUCCAAUCUGAGAGCAGCCACCAUGCCAUCAUCUCACUCUGUCCUCCAGUUGUCUUGUGUAUCUCCCAGCAUCCAUAUGUGUGAUCCCUCCACACAGCGAUGCCCUCUGAUGACAUAUUGAGCAUGACAGCCAUGAGAGCCAUGAGCAUGUCCCAGCCACUGUGCUAUACCUUUAAAUCUUCUGUUCCAAUGACAACCAUUUGAAAAUGGGAAGAAUAAUCCCAUUUUUCACAUUUCAAAAUAAGACUUUGGAUAGAUUAUGUAUCUUGUCUGUAGCCACACAGCUACUAAUUGGUGAAGUAAGGAUUUUUGUCCACUUCCUACCCAAACCCCAGCCAUCAACUCUGUCAUCUCUAUUAAGAUUCUGGCUUCCCUAAAUAAAUACAUGAAAAAAUGUUCAACAUCACUGGUCAUUCGAGAGAUGCAAAUGAAAACAAAGCUGAGAUUCCACCUCACCCUGGAAAGAAUGGCUGCUAUCAUGAAAUCAACCAAUAACACAUGCUGGCAGGGCUGUGGGGAAAGAGGAACCCUGCUCCACUGCUGGUAGGAGUGUAGACUGGUGCAACCACUGUGGAAAUCAGUAUGGAGAUACCUCAAAGAACUAGGACUGGAAGUCCCAUUCAACCCAGGUAUUCCCCUGCUGGGGAUCUACCACAAAGAAUUAAAAGAAUCAUACCACAGUGAUAUAUGUGCACCCAUGUUCAUAGCAGCACAGUUUGUAAUAGCUAAAACUUGGAAACAGCCCAAAUGCCCAUCAACUGGAGAUUGGAUAAAGAAAAUGUGGGUUUUUUUUUAUAAAAUGGAGUAUUACUCAGCCAUAAAAAAUGAGAAAUUAGAGACAUUUAUAGCUAAGUGAAUGCACAUUGAGGCGAUACUCUUAAGUGAAAUAAAUAGGACACACAUGUAUAAAUUCCGAAUAGUUUCUCUGGUGUGAGAAACUGAAAGUGUAAAUAAGGACUAAAUGUAUAAUAGGUCAUGUGAAAUAGAAAGAAAAGGGGCAAAGGGGAAGGAAGUGGGAGGACUAGGGGAAAGGAUAGAAGGGAAUGGGAUUAAUAUGAGAAAAUGGAAAAAUAGGAACAAAAUCUUUGUAAAUAGGGAGGACUGGAGGGGUUGAAGGGAGGGCUGGGCAAGGGUGAAAAACAAGAACCAAGAGAGACUAUGUAAAGGUCCACAUUUCCAAUGAUGAAUGUCAUUACAUUGUAUACCUAAAAUGUACCAAUGAUUAGAAUGAAUAAUCGAUAAUGUAAAAUAGGAAGAAAAGAUCCAAA